AGCUAAUAGAUACCCGGGUAGUCCUGGCAGUAAACGGUGCGCGUUUGGUGUGGGAGGAUUCGACCCCUUCUGUGCCGGAGCUAAACGCGUUAAACGCGCCGCCUGGGGAGUACGGUCGCAAGAUUAAAACUCAAAGAAAUUGACGGGGGCCCGCACAAGCGGUGGAGUAUGUGGCUUAAUUCGAUGCAACGCGAAGAACCUUACCUAGCCUUGACAUGCAUCUCUAAGUCGGUGAAAGCCGGCGACCAUAGCAAUAUGGAAUUUGCACAGGUGCUGCAUGGCUGUCGUCAGCUCGUGUCGUGGA
rnacentral:rRNA from 1 species